AUUUAUAUAGUAUAUAAGUAUAUAUGACUUCCAAUCAUAAGGUCUAAUUUUUAGUAUAAAUA
rnacentral:tRNA from 1 species